GACGAACGCUGGCGGCGUGCUUAACACAUGCAAGUCGAACGGUAAGGCUCCAGCUUGCUGGGGUACACGAGUGGCGAACGGGUGAGUAACACGUGGGUGACCUGCCCUGCACUUCGGGAUAAGCCUGGGAAACUGGGUCUAAUACCGGAUAGGACCGCACCGUGAGGGUGUGGUGGAAAGUUUUUUCGGUGUGGGAUGGGCCCGCGGCCUAUCAGCUUGUUGGUGGGGUAAUGGCCUACCAAGGCGGCGACGGGUAGCCGGCCUGAGAGGGUGGACGGCCACAUUGGGACUGAGACACGGCCCAGACUCCUACGGGAGGCAGCAGUGGGGAAUAUUGCACAAUGGGCGGAAGCCUGAUGCAGCGACGCCGCAUGGGGGAUGACGGCCUUCGGGUUGUAAACUCCUUUCACCAUCGACGAAGGGUUUCUGACGGUAGAUGGAGAAGAAGCACCGGCUAACUACGUG
rnacentral:rRNA from 1 species